rnacentral:rRNA from 1 species
AAUCAACGCUGGCGGCGUGCCUCAGACAUGCAAGUCGAACGAUUAAAGCUCUCUUCGGAGAGUGUAUAGAGUGGCGCACGGGUGAGUAACACGUAAGUAAUCUACCUUUGGGUGGGGAAUAACCCGGGGAAACCCGAGCUAAUACCGCAUAAUGCAGCGGCACCGCAAGGUGACAGUUGUUAAAGGAGCAAUCCGCUUAAAGAGGAGCUUGCGGCAGAUUAGCUAGUUGGAAGGUAAUGGCUUACCAAGGCUUCGAUCUGUAUCCGGCCUGAGAGGGCGGUCGGACACACUGACACUGAAUAACGGGUCAGACUCCUACGGGAGGCAGCAGUCGGGAAUUUUGGGCAAUGGGCGAAAGCCUGACCCAGCAACGCCGCGUGAAGGAUGAAGUAUUU